rnacentral:lncRNA from 1 species
ACAUAGGUCCGGACAUCUGCGGUCCUGGCACCAAGAAGGUUCAUGUCAUCUUUAACUACAAGGGCAAGAACGUGCUGAUCAACAAGGAUAUCCGGUGUAAGGAUGAUGAAUUCACACAUCUAUACACGCUGAUUGUGCGGCCAGACAACACCUACGAGGUGAAAAUUGACAACAGCCAGGUGGAGUCGGGCUCCUUGGAGGAUGAUUGGGACUUUCUGCCGCCCAAGAAGAUUAAGGAUCCUGACGCUGCCAAGCCAGAAGACUGGGAUGAACGAGCCAAGAUUGAUGACCCCACAGAUUCCAAGCCUGAGGACUGGGACAAGCCAGAGCACAUCCCUGACCCUGAUGCUAAGAAGCCUGAGGACUGGGACGAAGAGAUGGAUGGAGAGUGGGAACCACCAGUGAUUCAAAAUC